GCCUGGGGGUGUGCUUACCAUGCAGUCGAGCGGUAAGGCCCUUCGGGGUACACGAGCGGCGAACGGGUGAGUAACACGUGAGCAACCUGCCCCUGACUCCGGGAUAAGCGGUGGAAACGCCGUCUAAUACCGGAUACGACCCGCCACCUCAUGGUGGAGGGUGGAAAGUUUUUCGGUCAGGGAUGGGCUCGCGGCCUAUCAGCUUGUUGGUGGGGUAACGGCCUACCAAGGCGAUUACGGGUAGCCGGCCUGAGAGGGCGACCGGCCACACUGGGACUGAGACACGGCCCAGACUCCUGCGGGAGGCAGCAGUGGGGAAUAUUGCGCAAUGGGCGAAAGCCUGACGCAGCGACGCCGCGUGGGGGAUGACGGCCUUCGGGUUGUAAACCUCUUUUACCACCAACGCAGGCUCGAAGUUCUCUUCGGGUUGACGGUAGGUGGGGAAUAAGGACCGGCUAACUACGUGCCAGCAGCCGCGGUAAUACGUAGGGUCCGAGCGUUGUCCGGAAUUAUUGGGCGUAAAGAGCUCGUAGGCGGCGUGUCGCGUCUGCUGUGAAAGACCGGGGCUUAACUCCGGUUCUGCAGUGGAUACGGGCAUGCUAGAGGUAGGUAGGGGAGACUGGAAUUCCUGGUGUAGCGGUGAAAUGCGCAGAUAUCAGGAGGAACACCGGUGGCGAAGGCGGGUCUCUGGGCCUUACCUGACGCUGAGGAGCGAAAGCAUGGGGAGCGAACAGGAUUAGAUACCCUGGUAGUCCAUGCCGUAAACGUUGGGCGCUAGGUGUGGGGACUUUCCACGGUUUCCGCGCCGUAGCUAACGCAUUAAGCGCCCCGCCUGGGGAGUACGGCCGCAAGGCUAAAACUCAAAGGAAUUGACGGGGGCCCGCACAAGCGGCGGAGCAUGUUGCUUAAUUCGACGCAACGCGAAGAACCUUACCAAGGUUUGACAUCA
rnacentral:rRNA from 1 species